GAGCUUCCUCUGAUAGAUCUGGGGCAAUUGACUGUUGUUCUUCUGGUUUGCACUAGGAUGCGAAAGAAUAAGAGGUUCACGCUCUUGUUGUCUGUCUUUGUGGCAGGUCCAGAUUGAAUGAGGGAUUACAUAG
ensembl:snoRNA